AUUGAACGCUGGCGGCAUGCCUUACACAUGCAAGUCGAACGGCAGCACGGGGCAACCUGGUGGCGAGUGGCGAACGGGUGAGUAAUGCAUCGGAACGUACCUUUCAGUGGGGGAUAACGUAGCGAAAGUUACGCUAAUACCGCAUAUUCUGUGAGCAGGAAAGCAGGGGAUCGCAAGACCUUGCGCUGAUUGAGCGGCCGAUGUCAGAUUAGCUAGUUGGUGAGGUAAAGGCUCACCAAGGCGACGAUCUGUAGCGGGCCUGAGAGGAUGAUCCGCCACACUGGAACUGAGACACGGUCCAGACUCCUACGGGAGGCAGCAGUGGGGAAUUUUGGACAAUGGGGGCAACCCUGAUCCAGCCAUGCCGCGUGAGUGAAGAAGGCCUUCGGGUUGUAAAGCUCUUUCGGCCGGGAAGAAAUCGCACGGGCUAAUACCCUGUGUGGAUGACGGUACCGGAAUAAGAAGCACCGGCUAACUACGUGCCAGCCGCCGCGGCAAUAC
rnacentral:rRNA from 1 species